CACAUCAUUAGCCUUAAGGGGGAUCUUAGUAGAAGUCAUCUGGUAAGUUUCACCUUAAGAGCAAACCUCCCUCUUCCUACUGCCAGUAUUAGAAAGAGGGCAAGUGACCAGGAGCAGCAAGGAUGUGGGCCUCAGCUCUCCUUGUACUCCAGGAGCAACUUAGAGUGGAAAUGUUUGCAUAAGAGCCAAUGUGAGGGAGCAGCGUUUAGAUGCACGAGCCAGUGUCUCCCUGCACCUUUAUAAAGAGCCUCUCUUAGCUGGGCAGUGAUGACACAUGCUUUAAUCCCAGCACUUGGGAGGCAGAAGUAGGUGGAUUUCUGUGGCUUUGAGGCCAGUCUGGUCUACAAAAACGAGUCCAGGACAGCCAGAACAACACACAAAGAAACCAUAGUCUCAGGAAAAAAUUUAAAAAACAAUAAUAAUAAACCUCUCUUGCCUAGCAGUGGUGGUGCACACCUUUAAUCCCAGCACACUCAGAAGGCACAGGUAGGCAGGUCUCUGUGAGUUCAAGGUCUGCCUGGACUAUAGAUAGAGUUCCAGAGCAGCCAAGACUACCAAAUACCAAAACAAACAAAAAUCAGAGAAGCUACAUAUGUGCCAGUAUCCUCAGCAAGAGCUGGAGUGUUGUCCUUCAACAUAGGGAUGUUCUUGAAGGUAUCACAGAUUGCCUUUUGUUGAGAUCUGUGAGGGACAUAGCUUCUCUGGAUGGCCAGAGAAGGAGGAAUGUAAUGAAGAAAAGGAGCAACAAGAAAGCAAUGGGGACUUGUAUGCCUCAGAACUAAGUCUGUAGAGAUUGUUGGAGCCAAGGCCUGUGCUGCGUUCUAACCAGGCAGCAGUUCUUUGGCCUCUCAAGUUCUGACCAGCUUCUUCCCAGUAGCUGAUAGAUUUUCUUAUUUACUGACACUUACAAUUUUUUCAAGCUGGCAGUGGUGGCGCACUCCUUUAAUCCCAGCACUCAGGAGGCAGAGGCAGUGGAUCUCUGUGACCUCGAGGCCAGCCUGGUCUACAGAGGAAGUUCCCAGACAGCCAGGACUACACAGAGAAAGCCUGUCUCAAGAAGCCAAAAAAAAAUAAUAAUAAUUUUUUUUUCUGGUGUGUGCAGGGAGCAUGUGUGCGCAUACUUGUGGGGUUGUGCUGUGUAUGCAUGUAACUCGGACCCAGAGGGGCAACUUUGAAUGUCUUCCUCUAUGACUGUCCCAUCUUAUUUUUUGAGAUAGGGUUUCUCACCAAAUCUAGAGCUUGCCUUUCAGCUCAGCUGGCUGGCCAGACUCUACCUGCAUCUGUCCACUCUCCUUCCCAGCACUGUGAUCAAAGGCAUACACCACCAUGACCAGGUUUUAUGUGGGCACUGGGACUGGAACUCGGUCCCUCAUACCUGUGCAGCAAACCCUUUCCCCUCUGAGCUAUCUGCCCAGCCCCCACCUAACUCUUUUGCCUUGAUAGACCAUUAACACUAAACAAUGGGAACUAUAAUGAUUUUUACAAAGCUGGUUCCUAUAUUUUGACAUGAUCAUGUUUCCACUCUUACCAAAGAAGUCUUUAGUCAAGAAGAUUGAGAGUGUUAUAUUCCCCUAGCUUCUACUAUGGCACUUGGCACUUGAGUCAGUUUCUCUACAGGGUCUCACUGUGCAGCCCUGGCUGGCCUGGAAUUGACCGUGUAGACCAGGCUGCCCUUGAGCCCACAGAGAUCCACCCGCUUCUGACUCUACGUGCUGGGACUAAAGGUGUGUGCCCCCACACCCGGUCCAUACCUGGCAUUUUAAAAAGGCAGAAACCAUGGCAGUACUCUCUGAGGAUACUCUAUGAGCUCCAGAGAGGGAAGGGCUGUGUACAUUAUUCAGGAAGUCAGUGGCCAAGCAAGAUGCCAACCUGUGCCAUUAUUGUGUGGUCUAAAAGAUCAGAACUGUAAUGCACAGGCCCCCGGGGAGGGUGUGUGUGUGUGUGCGGGCACUAAUUAGAGUUACUAUUUAUGCUGCGACUUUGCUGAUUUUCGUGGUUAAGUGAGGGUUAGUGGUAUCCCUCAAACAUCUCAAGAGGCAGCCCCAGAGCUGCGAAUGGUGAAAGCACUCUGUGUUGAAAGACUCUUGUGUAUUGGAUCUUCCCGCCAGUUAGCUCUUUGAAACUAGGACCUGGUAAGAGGUUAAAAUAGUCUCAAAGCUCUAGGAUAGUGGCUCUCAACCUUCCUAAUGCUCUGACCCUUUAAUACAGCUCCUCAGGUUGUGCUGCCCCCAACCACAAAAUUCUUUUCAUUGCCACUUCAUAACUAAUUUUGCUACUGUUAUGAAUCAUAAUGUAGAUAUUUCUGGAAACAGAAGUUUGUCAAAGGGGCCAUGACCCACAGGUCGAGAACCACUGUUCCAGAAGCUGUGUGUUUCAGGCUCCUCAACUCAGAGCCUUAUAAACAGAAGGUGUGGGACAGGAGUCUAGGAAUGGGAUGAGAAGGACAAUAUGCCCCCCUUCGCUGUCCCUCAUGAGUCCAGUACUACUUCAGACAGACAGCUGGAUGGACGGGGCUUUUACUGAUGAGCCAAUGCUAAUGGAACAGCCUUUCAACAUCCGUAUAAAACAGCUAGUGUGGACUUGGGCAGCUGCCUCGUUUUCCUUAGACCCUAAACUCUCAGCUAAAAUACACCAGAGUUUUUCCUGUUAUACUGUUAAAACAGGCACUGACAUUUCUGUUUUAGGACGGGCUCUCAUGUACCCAGCUGACCUCAAACUCACCAUUGCUAAGGAGCAGAGGAUAGUCUUGAACUCCUGGUUCUGCCCUUGUCUCUCAAGAAUUGGGAUAACAAGUGUGCACCACAGCAGCAUGAUGAACAAAAAAAUGUUUUCUUUUUAACAGAAUUUGACCUUUGCUCACUAACCUGAGCCACUCUUCCUGCUUCACCACUCUCCUGGAGACUAAUUGGUGAAAGUAUUUGUUGCUCUGUUAUGAGACACAAAUUCUAUUUGUAAACCCAAAAUAUCAAUACAGGUUUGCAACAACAAAAGACAAAAGCAGAUCUCCUCCAGGUUAGGUCUCAGGCAGACCAGGAAGUGUGUCUCCUUAGUUCCUGGGCUCUCACUUAGACAAGGGCUCUCCUAUUCCCACCACGAGCUGCUGAAAAGAAAUUACUGUGAAUUCCUAGAAUAUCCUAUUAUCUUUGGAGAGCUUUGAUCAGAGGCCUGGAAACAAUACCGGAAACAAGUGGAAAAGUGGCUGAAAGGAACAGAGCUCCUAACAUCCAAGAAGAAAAUUUACACCACAACCAUAUGUGUUUGUUUUUAAACACUGAUGUACACCCGAAAAGUGGGGGGGAGUAACGACUCACUGAGUGUGCAGGCAAAUUACAACAGGGACUUGAAAGUCCAGAAUGGACAUCAAGUAAUUCCAAUAGGAACAGUGCUGUAAAAUGGACGUUCCUCCAUUGCUUUGUAUGCCAGCAAGAUGGCUAGGCAGGCAGAGGUUCUUGCCACCAAGCUUGAGGGGCAUUCUGGAACCCACACAGUGAAAGGAGAGAAUGGCCAUGCACACAUGUGAAUACACACACACACACAGACGGCUAGAAAUGCAGAAGACAAUAUACUUAUUUUAAAGAAACAGGGGUAUGUGUAUAUAUUAAUGCCUGUUUGGAGGACCAUGUACAUUUUCAUGUGUGAUUUUAAAGUUACAAAUUAAACUCAGCCCAUGUUUGACAA